AUCCUGGAUAGCUCAGUUGGUUGGAGUGUGGUGCUGACAAGGCCAAGGUCGCAGGUUCGAUCCCUGUAUGGGACA